rnacentral:rRNA from 1 species
AGCUCAUUAUACUAGCCAUAGUUUAUUGGAUCUUAUCUCAUUACUUGAAUAACUGUGCUAAUUGUAGAGCUAAUGCAUGCAAAAAAACUCUACCCUAUGGGAAGAGUGCAUUUAUUAGAACAAAACCAAUUGGGCUUGCCCAUUCUUUGGUGAAUCUGAAUAACUUAGCUAAUCGAAUGGUCUUUGUACUGUCGAUGUGUCCUUCAAGAGUCUACCUUAUCAACUUUCGAUGGUAGUUUACAUGACUACCAUGGUUGUGACGGGUAACGGAGAAUCAGGGUUUGACUCCGGAGAGGGCGCCUGAGAAAUGGCGACCACAUCCAAGGAAGGCAGCAGGCGCGCAAAUUACCCCAUGUUAGCAAAACGAGGUAGUGACGAAAAAUAACAAGGUGGUUCUCUAUGAGGUCCAUCAUUGGAAUGGGUACAAUUUAAACCCUUUAACGAGGAUCUAUUGAAGGGCAAGUCUGGUGCCAGCAGCCGCGGUAAUUCCAGCUUCAAUAGCGUAUAUUAAAUUUGUUGCGGUUA